rnacentral:rRNA from 1 species
AAACCGUUGAAAGGGAAGCGAAUGGAGUUAGCAAUUCGCCCUGUCAGACUCAGCCGCUCGCGAGUAGCGACGCGCGCGUUCUCGAUCCCUAUAGACGAGGCGCGUGCGGGCGCGACUUGCGGACGGCGCACUUCUGGCGGGCGAGCGUCAGCGUCGGUUGUCGACGGGCGAGAAGGUCGCGAGGAAGGUGGACCGGCCUCACGGCCGGUUGUUAAGCCUCGCGCUCGCACGGCCCGACGACGACCGUGGCUCAGGGAGGCGACGCGUGCCUGGCUGGCGACUCGCUCGAUCGGUCCGGCAUGUCGACCGUGGCGGACGGCACGCCUGUGCGCUCGAACUGCUGCCGGUCGAUCGGACGAUGUUCGCACACUACGCGUCGAAGGUGCUGACGACCAUACGGCUCCAUCCGACCCGUCUUGAAACACGGACCAAGGAGUCUAACAUGUGCGCGAGUCUCCGGGUGAUCGAAACCCGUGGGCACAAUGA